rnacentral:rRNA from 1 species
GGUGUGUACUGGUCUUGAUGGAAGCUUACCUCUUGGGUGGGUCGGCAUGCCCUUCGUUGGGUGUGUCGAUUAACCAGGACUUUUACUUUGAGAAAUUAGAGUGUUCAAAGCAGCUUUCGCCCGAUACAUUAGCAUGGAUAAUAGAUAGGACGCGCGUUCUUUAUUUUGGUGGUUUCUAAAUUCGCCGUAAUGAUUAAUAAGGAUAGUCGGGGCAUCGUAUGCUUGGUCAGAGGUGAAAAUCUGGGAUUCUAGCAAGACGAACUACUGCGAAAGCAUUGCCAAGGAUGUUUUCAUUGAUCAAGAACGAAGGUUAGGGGAUCGAAAACGAUCAGAUACCGUUGUAGUCUUAACAGUAAACUAUGCCGACUAGGGAUCGGACAAGCACAAUCUAUGACUUGUUCGGCACCUGAAGAGAAAUCUUUAAGUCUAGGUUCGGGGGGGAGUAUGGUCGCAAGGCUGAAACUUAAAGGAAUUGACGGAAGGGCACCACCAGGUGUGGAGCCUGCGGCUUAAUUUGACUCAACACGGGGAAACUCACCAGGUCCAGACACAAUAAGGAUUGACAGAUUGAUAGCUCUUUCUUGAUCUUGUGGUUGGUGGUGCAUGGCCGUUCUUAGUUGGUGGAGUGAUUUGUCUGGUUAAUUCCGAUAACGAACGAGACCUUAACCUGCUAAAUAGACCCGGGGCCUUAGGGAACCGGCUGUCUUCUUAGAGGGACUGUAGG